rnacentral:rRNA from 1 species
GCUUUAUAAAUAAUAUAAAUUUAUUAUGUUAUAUAUUCGGUUGGGGCGACCUAGGUACAAUAAAACAACCUAUAAAUAUAUAGACUUAUAAUUCAUAAAUAGAUCCGUAAAACUAAAAAAUUAAGC